GUUGAAUACUAUCUUAGGCAUAAUAAUGCUAUGAUAUGAAUUAAACUUUCAUACUUCUUUUGAAUACUGCUAUAUGAUUUCGGAAAGAGAAAAUCAGGAAAAAAAAUUGAAGUGACUUAUCACAUAAAAAUAGAAGAGGAGCAGACUAUUCCUAGGUAGGUGUAAGCCAAAAUAAAUGCUAAUAAUGAUGAAAAAUUAAAAAGUAGAUUAAAUCAUACAAUCACAUUGGGACCGCAUGUCUUCUGCGUAUGGAAAGGGAUAAUCUACCUACUCUGCUCAAAAAUCCAAAACAACUCAAUUCUCUCUCAUCUUAAUUUUCGGAAAUGACAGUAAUAGUAAUAAAUGAAUUAAAUUGCUUUGACUGAGAUAAUAUUCAGCACUUAAGAGCCUCUCUUCUCAAAACCGAAAUAUUCGGUCCAAUCAUCCUACCUCCUUUCUCUUCGAUUUUAUUUUUAAAAAAAGAAAUGUUUUGAUUUAAAUAUUAAUUGAUAUGAAACUGAAAAUGGCCAGAAUAAAUGAUAGUAGGAAUAAAUUCUUUUCCCAAAAAUCUCGCAUAUUUACUCUCCUUUUUUUCCAGAUUGGUUCUCUCACUCAGUUCUCUUUCUCUCCAGUCUAACACAAUGACCCCCUUUUCUCACCUCUGUUUCUUUCACUCUCAAACACAACAUAACAUGAAGAUACAAUCCGAUUUUUGUUCUGAAUCCAAAUUCCCUUAUUGAUUCUAACACAGAAUCAUUCAAAUACAAUAGAUCUACACAAAUUUGACUAAAUCUUAACCAACCUAAAACAGCAAAACUUCAGAUGAUUCAAGGCAAUAUAGUGAAUAUUAAGACGAGGUAACACACAUGCGAUGAAAUACAUGUAUAGUGGGGAAAAUGAGAUGAAACAAAGCUCGUCGGAAAACGAAGUUUCCGGCAAGGUUACCGGCAGUGAGAUCUGACCUUGAGGUAUGUUGCUUCCGUUCUGUUUUCUGGAGUCCUAUUCUUCUUCUAACUUCUUUGAAUCGGUUUGUCUUGGUUUGACUGUGGCUUAGUUCAGUUUUCUCAAAGUUCUAAUGAUGAACUCUGAGUAAACUUUGGGAGUAUUUGAGCUUUGGUGAUUGGGUGUGAGUGAAAUUCCAGCAGAGUAACGAUUACAACUCUGAAAUGACCUGCUGGAAUGGAAGGUGGCCGCUCCAAGCAUCAAGACAACAUGUUUUCAUGACUAAGUCCAAAGUGAUUUCACCCUAAUUGCUUGGUUUUGGUUAUUAGGAACCUAUUUCCAUCUGUAGCAAUUUUUCACUAUAAUUACUUAGUUUAGUUUUUUUUAGACAAAAUGUGUGUUGGAUUAUUUGGGACUUAUUGAAUUAAAUUUUAAUUAUGUAAUUACCUUUUUAA